GACGAACGCUGGCGGCGUGCCUAAUACAUGCAAGUCGAACGGUCUUUUCUAUGGAAGCUUGCUUCCGCUGAGAAGAUAGUGGCGAACGGGUGAGUAACACGUGGGUAACCUGCCCAUAAGAGGGGGAUAACAUCCGGAAACGGGUGCUAAUACCGCAUAGUUUUCUUGAUCGCAUGAUUGAGAAAGGAAAGACGGCCUUUGUGCUGUCGCUUAUGGAUGGACCCGCGGCGUAUUAGUUAGUUGGUGAGGUAACGGCUCACCAAGACGAUGAUACGUAGCCGCCCUGAGAGGGUGAUCGGCCGCAUUGGGACUGAGACACGGCCCAAACUCCUACGGGAGGCAGCAGUAGGGAAUCUUCCGCAAUGUACGAAAGUCUGACGGAGCAACGCCGCGUGAGUGAAGAAGGUUUUCGGAUCGUAAAACUCUGUUGUCAGAGAAGAACAAGUCGGAGAGUAACUGCUCCGGCCUUGACGGUAGCUGACCAGAAAGCCACGGCUAACUACGUGCCAGCAGCCGCGGUAAUAC
rnacentral:rRNA from 1 species